CGAUCCAUUAACGCGUUUUUUUUUUCUUGUUAAAAAUCGGUGAUUUUUAAGAUAGCGUUUCCGCGAUAUACGUGCUGGACUAUAUGUUUAUAAAAAAAAAAACCUCUUGGUCACGGAUGCCGAACUCACUCGCGCGCAUGCGUAGAGAGUGUAAAAGGCUGUCUGGCGGUCCACCUUUUCAUCAGGUCAUCAGAGAAAAGAAUCCCAUUAUGGCAAACAAAGGCAGCAGCAAAUGUGGCGAUAAGUACUCCAUUCACAGCAAACAUCUUAAGAAAGGUCUUCCUUCAGUUGCAUUCUUGUGAUUUGCACCUCAUCUGUGCUGCAUUCACAAAGUGCACUCAAAGCUGAGUAGGGAUCAGUGAUGCAAAUGCAGCACAUCGGACGACAAAAGGUUGAGAUUGCUCGUCCAAAUGCCAACUGUUCUCUUCUGGGAGGGAACCUCGCAUAAACAAAAUGGACGCUUCGGCUGGUGACACAGAUAGACACACACAGGUGAGUAUGUAAAAGUACCAAUGAGUGAAAAAAACAUUUAGUGUGUCCGCUGGUGAAAUAAUGAAGUCAAAGUAAGCAUUUGUUACUUUCACAAAUAAUAAUAAUAGUAAUCAAAAAUCCGCAAGGGGAUAUUUUGCAGUUGUGUUUUCUUC